CAUUCAGAUGGCUGAAAGCAAGCAAUGGAAUUUUAAACCAUCUCAUAGUAAAGUAGCACUUACUUCUAAUG
rnacentral:tRNA from 1 species